GUGUAGAGGCGGCAGGUAGACUAGUGGUUAGAGUGUAGAGGCGGCAGGUAGACUAGUGGUUAGAGUGUAGAGGAGGCAGGUAGACUAGUGGUUAGAGUGUAGAGGAGGCAGGUAGUCUAGUGGUUAGAGUGUAGAGGAGGCAGGUAGCCUAGUGGUUAGAGUGUAGAGGAGGCAGGUAGACUAGUGGUUAGAGUGUAGAGGAGGCAGGUAGCCUAGUGGUUAGAGUGUAGAGGAGGCAGGUAGUCUAGUGGUUAGAGUGUAGAGGAGGCAGGUAGUCUAGUGGUUAGAGUGUAGAGGAGGCAGGUAGACUAGUGGUUAGAGUGUAGAGGAGGCAGGUAGACUAGUGGUUAGAGUGUAGAGGAGGCAGGUAGACUAGUGGUUAGAGUGUAGAGGAGGUAGGUAGACUAGUGGUUAGAGUGUAGAGGAGGCAGGUAGACUAGUGGUUAGAGUGUAGAGGAGGCAGGUAGACUAGUGGUUAGAGUGUAGAGGAGGCAGGUAGACUAGUGGUUAGAGUGUAGAGGAGGCAGGUAGACUAGU